AUGUGGCCGGAGAUGAAGGCGUGGGCCUCCAUGGCCGACGACCCGCUGAAGCGCGCCUCGUCGUCGGCGACGAGCCCGUCCAGCCCCAUGCGCCGCUUCAGCCCCACCACGAUGGCCGUCGGCGGCCUCCUCGCCGUCGGCACCGUCGGCUACUUCAUGUUCAUGGGCAAGGACGACAGGCAGCGCGAGCGCGACAGGCACAACGAGCGCCUGGCUCACCGCACCUGAGAAGCUGUUGCCGUCGCCGGAGUCCUUCGCCGUAGCUUACCAGUAACCACCGCAUGACAAAUAAGAUCCCCCCCUUCUGGGUGUUGGUGUACAAAUCCCGUGUGCUCUGCUUCUCUGUACUCUUUUAUCAGUGGAACAUGCAUAGAUUUCACUGAGCA